UAGGGAAUCUUCCACAAUGGACGCAAGUCUGAUGGAGCAACGCCGCGUGAGUGAAGAAGGCUUUCGGGUCGUAAAACUCUGUUAUUGAAGAAGAACGUGCGUGACAGUAACUGGUCAUGCAGUGACGGUAUUCAAUCAGAAAGUCACGGCUAACUACGUGCCAGCAGCCGCGGUAAUACGUAGGUGGCAAGCGUUGUCCGGAUUUAUUGGGCGUAAAGCGAGUGCAGGCGGUCUUUUAAGUCUGAUGUGAAAGCCUUCGGCUUAACCGAAGAAGGGCAUCGGAAACUGGGAGACUUGAGUGCAGAAGAGGAGAGUGGAACUCCAUGUGUAGCGGUGAAAUGCGUAGAUAUAUGGAAGAACACCAGUGGCGAAGGCGGCUCUCUGGUCUGUAACUGACGCUGAGGCUCGAAAGCGUGGGUAGCAAACAGGAUUAGAUACCCUGGUAGUCCAUGCCGUAAACGAUGAGCGCUAGGUGUUGGGGACUUUCCGGUCCUCAGUGCCGCAGCAAACGCAUUAAGCGCUCCGCCUGGGGAGUACGACCGCAAGGUUGAAAC
rnacentral:rRNA from 1 species